GGUAAAGUGGCUGAGUAUAAGCGGUAAAUUGUAAAUUUACUAAGGUGAUUAAUUCUCCUUUAUCA
rnacentral:tRNA from 2 species